UCACCAUGUUGGCCUGGUUGGUCUCGAACUCCUGAUAUCAGGUGAUCUGACUGCCUUGGCUUCCCCAAGUGCUAGGAUUUGCUGGUGUGAGCUACCGCCCCUGGCCUGGAAUCUCCAAAUUCUUAAAUACUAAAAACUAAUUUGAAAGUGCCAAAAGCACUUUGCUAGCCAAACAAAAUAACAUGCCAUUUUAAAAGAUUUUCUCUUGGGAGAUUGUUUGUGAGCAAGGAAAUAGAAUUUAAUUAAAGCUACUAAGUGUAGGAAGAGAGCAGAAUACAUGUACAAGGAUUGCCAAGUAGGAGAAUAAGAAAGAACUGGGCAGACAUUUGUGGUAAAGAAUAUUGAGCUAUCAGGAAUCCUUUAUUGGAGAUUCCUUUAGGUCAGAUAAUCUGUGUAUUUAUUAUUUGCCAUACUGAUGUGUGAAUUCUACCACAUAGUUCCUUUAUUCCAUGUGUUUGCAUUAUUGGGCUAUAGGAUAAUGACGUUUAAAAAAUGCUUUUCAAGUUGCUGGAAUGAUGAAGAUGGUUUACUCCUGUUUUGAAAAAGACAAAAGCACCAAAUUUUAAAGAAUGAAAGUUCGCUUCUCCCAUCCCACUUGCUGAAUCCUCAGAAGUACCCACCACUGUGAACAGUUUAGGGUUUGUUCUUAUAAUUUGUUUUUAAUGAAGUUUUAAAAACAAAUCUUUUUAUAUAAUCAUUUGGUUUCCUCAACAAGAUUAUAUCUCUGUCUGCUGACUGUUCUGUAUUUUCCCCCCACAUUCUAAGGAAGGUUAAAAUAGAAGUCAUGUUUGCAUUAAGACUGUUGAUAAUAGAAAUUUACAACUUUAAUGGAACAGAGGAAAAUAGGUAUACAACUUGCUUAAUAUUUAUUGUGAUUAAAAAUAAAUUUAAUCCACCAUUCCUUUCAACCGAGACAAAAGACCACUGAGUUUUGCUUUUCUCCUUCAAACUCUAUAAUUUCAGUUAAGCAUUGCUCCUUCUUUUCAUAAUGUCGUCUUCCUCUUGCUCCACCUUCCAGAAAAAUAUUUACUACCAGAAAAUUUUUGUUUUAUAAAACAGCAAUUCAAGAAUAGAGUUGAAAAGUUAGAAGAACCUUGUUACAACACAUACACAAUUAGCACAAAUCUGAACUGGCUACACAUGACUUUUUUCCUUACAAGGAGACUUGUUUUCAAGUCCAAAAGGGGCAAGUAUUUUAUCUAAAGAACGGACAAAUGGGAGAUCAAAGUACAAUACAAGCUGGGAAGACUAAGAGCAUGGAGCCAGCAUCCAGCAAGGGCCUUCAUAUUCUAUCAUCCAAUGGUGGAAGGCAGAAGAGCAAGCAAGCUUGUGAGAUGGAGAGGAUGGGAGCCAAACUUCCUUAUUUUAUAGUAACCCAAUCCCUCAAUAACUAAUACACUCUCAUGAUAAUGGCAUUAAUCCAUCCAUUCAUGAGGACAGAGCCUUCAUGAUCUAAUCACCUUGUAAAGGUCCUACCUCUUAAUACCAUCACAAGGGCAAUUAAAUUUCAAGAUGAAUUUUGGAAGAAACAUUCAAAUCAUAGCAGUCCCCUUGAUCACUGAGUCAUAGGAGCAUAACGCAAUGCCUUCUAUACAAAAGACACUCAAUAAAUAUUUGUUGAAUGAA